UACAGAGGUCCCAAGCGUUGUUCGGAUUCAUUGGGCGUAAAGGGUGCGUAGGCGGCAGGGUAAGUUGGAUGUGAAAUCCUGGGGCUUAACCUCAGAAUUGCAUUCAAUACUGCCUUGCUAGAGAGCUGUAGAGGAGACUGGAAUUACGGUGUAGCAGUGAAAUGCGUAGAUAUCGUAAGGAACGCCAGUGGCGAAAGCGAGUCUCGUGGGCAGCAUCUGACGCUGAGGCACGAAGGCCAGGGAGCAAACGGG
rnacentral:rRNA from 1 species